rnacentral:rRNA from 1 species
UACGGGGGGGGUAAGCGUUGUUCGGAAUUACUGGGCGUAAAGCGCACGUAGGCGGCGAUUUAAGUCAGAGGUGAAAGCCCGGGGCUCAACCCCGGAACUGCCUUUGAGACUGGAUUGCUAGAAUCUUGGAGAGGCGAGUGGAAUUCCGAGUGUAGAGGUGAAAUUCGUAGAUAUUCGGAAGAACACCAGUGGCGAAGGCGGCUCGCUGGACAAGUAUUGACGCUGAGGUGCGAAAGCGUGGGGAGCAAACAGG